CCCAAUCUUACCUCUUGGAUCUUAACCAGGUACAGGGAGGUAGUAGACUAAAAGUGGGAGGGGGAUGGAUAAUAGAAGAGCUGAGACAGAUCCCACCCCUGCCCUUGAGGUAAGUGGAGCCCCUCCCAAGUGCAAGAUACCCUUUAAAAGUGAGGGGGCAAGGCAGGAAUGCUGAGAAAUGCAUCAGAAACAGUCUUGAAGGCUAAGAGCGGAGGAGGAGAGCUGAGAGACCAUCCCCAAGCAUUGUGGGCAUUCCUCCCCAAAAGACUAAGGGUAGGGCACACACAAGAGAUGAGCGAAAUAUUUCCCCACUCCCUAUCCCAGUGACUAAAAAACCUGGCAGCUAGGCUGGUUUGUCCACAUUUUUCACUAGAAAGAAGAGAUCUCCCACAUUUCCAAAAGCUGAUGGCUUGGCUACAAAGCAAAGUCAGAUCUUUAGAAUCUUGCCAAUGCCCAAAACCUAGGCCCUACCGAAGGGAAAGUUCUGAUUCUGCCUUCAAAAUAUUUGAAGCUAGUGGUGAACUGAAUCAAACUAAAGUUGCAAUAAAGCUCAGAUCUAGGUCAAAUAUAUCAGAUUGACUGAGCCACUACUUAAGUGGCUGAAAGAAAAAUGGGCAUGCCCCAUUUUGAAGGUCAGUAAUAUUUACUUCAGUCUCUCCUGCUUUUUAUACAAAAUGUCCAGCAUACAACCAGAUAUACAAGACAUGUGCAAAAGCAAGAAAAUGAGAUCCAUGGUAAUGGGAAGAGUUCAACAGAAGCAGAAUGAAAGAUGACCCAGAUGUUGAAUUAUCAGUUGGGAUCUUUAAAAUAACUCUGAUUAAAAUGCUAAAAAUCUAGUGGAAAAUGUGGAUGACAUGCAUGAAGAAAUGAGAAACUUGAGCAGAAACAUGGUAACUGUACAAACAUAAUGAAAUUCUAGAAAUAAAAAAUACGAUGUCAGAAAUACAGAAUUCAUUAGAUAGGUUUAACAGGAAAGCAUCAGAGAACUUGAAGACAGCUAAAUGGAAAGUAUCCAAACUGAAAACAAAAAG